rnacentral:lncRNA from 1 species
CCCGGGGAUGCUCCGGGGGCGGGCGGAUCGGCUUCUCGGGCUCCUCCCGCUGCCCCGGCGCCUCGGCCACGUCUGAAAGGGGUUCAUUGUCCCUGUCGGCAGCUCGGAGACGCGGCGGUGGCGGGAGGCGGCGACAAGGUGAAGGUGACAUGCUGAUCGUAAGCAUUUGUCAGUAUUUCUUAGCUGCAACAGUUGCUUCAAGUGAGGCACACAGGGCGCACCUCAGUCCAAUCGUCCUCGGACUGUUUGAAUUUGUGGACGCUAUUGUAGCAGUGCCGACAAAGUCUCAACUUUUUUC